rnacentral:ncRNA from 1 species
UAGGAUUAUAGGUGCUCUAUUCAAUAGAGGUAAAAGGGAAAGUGGUUUAAAGCCACUACAGCCCCCGCUACUGUAAUGGAAGACAAAUCUAAUAAACCACUGGCUUAGGCUGGGAAGGUUAGAAGAGGAUGAGACCAGAGUCAGGAAACCUGCCUACAAUCUUA